AGGUGGCGAGAUGCAGUGAGUCAAUAGCUGGAUGGAGAUGGCCGUGGUCCCCAGUCAGCAGGUGCAGAAUCAAUGGAAGUUCAUUCGCAGGCCUAGACAGUUGAGGAGGCGUAGAGCCAGCCGUAUGUGGUUGCGACCAGAAGCCAGUUGUCAAUUAUAGGAACAUCCUUCGCAUUGAAGGCAGAGAUGAGCUGCUACAAUGGAUAUACACUUUGUGAAGUCUGAGUGGAAGGACUUCAUAUUGAUUUAUGCUCCUGGAUGGUUCCAAUUCAAGGAAUAGAAAAUGUCUGCAAGGGGGAGCACCACAUCGCUACAUUCUAUUAAAGGUGUGGCUUUGUUUACUGUCUGGUGAAGGUCAGGC